rnacentral:rRNA from 1 species
UGAACGCUGGCGGCAUGCCUUACACAUGCAAGUCGAACGGCAGCACGGGAGCAAUCCUGGUGGCGAGUGGCGAACGGGUGAGUAAUAUAUCGGAACGUGCCCAGUCGUGGGGAUAACGUAGAGAAAUUUACGCUAAUACCGCAUACGAUCUAAGGAUGAAANCGGGGGACCGUAAGGCCUCGCGCGAUUGGAGCGGCUGAUAUCAGAUUAGGUUGUUGGUGAGGUAAAAGCUCACCAAGCCGACGAUCUGUAGCUGGUCUGAGAGGACGACCAGCCACACUGGGACUGAGACACGGCCCAGACUCCUACGGGAGGCAGCAGUGGGAAUUUUGGACAAUGGGCGCAAGCCUGAUCCAGCAAUGCCGCGUGCAGGAUGAAGGCCUUCGGGUUGUAAACUGCUUUGUACGGAACGAAACGGUGAGCUCUAAUACAGUUUGCUAAUGACGGUACCGUAAGAAUAAGCACCGGCUAACUACGUG